UUGGCGGUCGGGUCGAAGUUACGUGUGACGACCAGGUAUUCGCGGAUGGCGAUGGCGUGCAGGUUCUC
rnacentral:sRNA from 1 species